CCCCAGAAAGACCGUUUAUGUCACGUUCGAUUAUCCGUCUUAUUUUGAAAAAAUAUAAUUAGUAUUUUUAGUGUUAUCAGAUGAUAAAAUAUGAAUAGUACUUUAUAGGUGACUAUUUUUUUAAAAAAAAUCAUAAACCUUUUAAAAUAAGACGGAAGGUGAAACAUUGGAAAUGAAAAUCCACAACUGCACUUAAA
rnacentral:pre_miRNA from 1 species